rnacentral:tRNA from 1 species
UGUGGCUCAGUUGAUAGAGCAUGGUGUUUGCAACGCCAGGGUUGUGGGUUCGAUUCCCACCA